AUAAAAUACCACCGGGCAUUUUUCAGGAACUGCCGAAACGAAUUAGAGUAUUUGCCUAAUCGAAAGAGUAUUUUCAGAAAAAACAAAACCAAAUGUCAUUUUUUUAAAUAAGUAUCGGGAAUUUCAAAAAAAAAUAUUUAAAUUCAGUACCGUCGGGCGAAAAAUUUGAAUCUUUAAACUUAUGUUACAAACAAAUGCGAACAUUGUUGCUUGAGCCGAAAUAAUGUUUUAUGAAAAAAAACACACACACACGCAUACUAAUAAAAAACAAUAUUUUUAAACGAAUCGUUACAGUUAUACUAACAUUUUUUUUUUUUUUGUUCUAUAGAAGUUUCUAAAGUAACUGAAUUCAUUCAAAAUACAUAGGCGUUCAGCAUAACAAUCCAGUGCCACGUCUGGAGAUAAUUUCACAAAGAAUAUUGCAUAUAUCGUUUG